CGAACGGGCUGGACGGUCGCCGGUCAAUAUCGACCGAUAUUGGCGGGAGGAAAGUCCGGGCCCCGCGGGAUCACGGUGAUGGGUAACACCCACCGGCCGAAAGGCUAGGGAAAGUGCCACAGAAAACAGACCGCCGAGGUACGCCUCGGUAAGGGUGAAACGGUGAGGUAAGAGCUCACCAGCAGGUCGGGUGACCGACUUGGCUCGGCAAACCCCACCGGGAGCAAGGUCAAGCAGGGGGUAGGGUCCGGUCCUCCGGACCGCGGCUGAUCCCGGCCGAACCCCCGGGUAGACCGCUGGAGGGGACGGGCAACCGUCCUCCUAGAGAAAUGACCGUCGCUCGAAGCACGGCUUCGAGAACAGAACCCGGCUUACAAGCCCGUCCUGUCC
rnacentral:RNase_P_RNA from 1 species